rnacentral:tRNA from 1 species
GCCCUUCUACACUGUUGGUUGGAGCAUGGCACUGAUAAUGCCAAGGUUGCAGGUUUGAUCCCUGUAAGGGACA